UACAGAGGUCCCAAGCGUUGUUCGGAUUCAUUGGGCGUAAAGGGUGCGUAGGUGGCGCUGUAAGUCGGGUGUGAAAUUUCGGAGCUUAACUCCGAAACUGCAUUCGAUACUGCGGUGCUUGAGGACUGGAGAGGAGACUGGAAUUCAUGGUGUAGCAGUGAAAUGCGUAGAGAUCACGAGGAAGACCAGUGGCGAAGGCGGGUCUCUGGACAGUUCCUGACACUGAGGCACGAAGGCCAGGGGAGCAAACGGG
rnacentral:rRNA from 1 species